rnacentral:rRNA from 1 species
UACGUAGGCAGCGAGCGUUGUUCGGAGUUACUGGGCGUAAAGGGUGUGUAGGCGGUUGUUUAAGUUUGGUGUGAAAUCUCCCGGCUCAACUGGGAGCGUGCGCCGAAUACUGAAUGACUAGAGUGCGGGAGAGGAAAGUGGAAUUCCUGGUGUAGCGGUGAAAUGCGUAGAUAUCAGGAGGAACACCGGUGGUGUAGACGGCUUUCUGGACCGUAACUGACGCUGAGACACGAAAGCGUGGGUAGCAAACAGG